rnacentral:sRNA from 2 species
AAAGCGUUGCCGCAGGCAACGACCCGAAGGGCGAAACGCGCAGCGCUGAGUCAUCCUUCCCCCACCACCA